GCUUGUCUCAAAGAUUAAGCCAUGCACGUCUAAGUAUAAGCGAUUAUACUGUGAAACUGCGAAUGGCUCAUUAUAUCAGUUAUAGUUUAUUUGAUGGUCCUUGCUACUUGGAUAACCGUAGUAAUUCUAGAGCUAAUACAUGCAUAAAUCCCCGACUGCUUGGAAGGGGUGUAUUUAUUAGAUGGAAACCAAUUCGGGGUAACCCGGUUUAUGGUGAAUCAUAAUAACUGUUCGAAUCGCACGGGCAACCGGCGAUAGUUCAUUCAAAUUUCUGCCCUAUCAGCUUUCGACGGUAGUGUAGUGGACUACCGUGGCGUUAACGGGUAACGGAGAAUUAGGGUUCGAUUCCGGAGAGGGAGCCUGAGAAACGGCUACCACAUCCAAGGAAGGCAGCAGG
rnacentral:rRNA from 1 species